UGGGGAAUUUUGGACAAUGGGCGAAAGCCUGAUCCAGCAAUGCCGCGUGUGUGAAGAAGGCCUUCGGGUUGUAAAGCACUUUUGUCCGGAAAGAAAUCCUUGGCUCUAAUACAGUCGGGGGAUGACGGUACCGGAAGAAUAAGCACCGGCUAACUACGUGCCAGCAGCCGCGGUAAUACGUAGGGUGCAAGCGUUAAUCGGAAUUACUGGGCGUAAAGCGUGCGCAGGCGGUUUGCUAAGACCGAUGUGAAAUCCCCGGGCUCAACCUGGGAACUGCAUUGGUGACUGGCAGGCUAGAGUAUGGCAGAGGGGGGUAGAAUUCCACGUGUAGCAGUGAAAUGCGUAGAGAUGUGGAGGAAUACCGAUGGCGAAGGCAGCCCCCUGGGCCAAUACUGACGCUCAUGCACGAAAGCGUGGGGAGCAAACAGGAUUAGAUACCCUGGUAGUCCACGCCCUAAACGAUGUCAACUAGUUGUUGGGGAUUCAUUUCCUUAGUAACGUAGCUAACGCGUGAAGUUGACCGCCUGGGGAGUACGGUCGCAAGAUUAAAACUUAAAGGAAUUGACCGGGGUCAUAGCUGUUUCCU
rnacentral:rRNA from 1 species